GAUGAACGCUGGCGGCGUGCUUAACACAUGCAAGUCGAACGGAGAGGCCGAAGCUUGCUUCGGUACUCGAGUGGCGAACGGGUGAGUAACACGUGGGUGAUCUGCCCUGUACUUCGGGAUAGGCUUGGGAAACUGGGUCUAAUACCGGAUAUGACGAUCUCUUGGAUGGGGUUGUGGAAAGCUUUUGCGGUAUGGGAUGAGCUCGCGGCCUAUCAGCUUGUUGGUGGGGUAAUGGCCUACCAAGGCGUCGACGGGUAGCCGGCCUGAGAGGGUGUACGGCCACAUUGGGACGGAGAUACGGCCCAGACUCCUACGGGAGGCAGCAGUGGGGAAUAUUGCACAAUGGGCGCAAGCCUGAUGCAGCGACGCCGCGUGGGGGAUGACGGCCUUCGGGUUGUAAACUCCUUUCGCAAUCGACGAAGCCUUUUGGUGACGGUAGGUUGAGAAGAAGCACCGGCUAACUACGUG
rnacentral:rRNA from 1 species